ACGGGGUGCAGCAGGCGCGAAAACUGACCAAUGCGCGAAAGCGUGAGUCGGUCAAUCCGAGUGUAGACCCAUCGGUUUACUUUUAUCAUGUGUACAAAGCUUGGUGAAUAAUGUGAGGGCAAGACUGGUGCCAGCCGCCGCGGUAAAACCAGCUCAUAGAGUGGUGAUCGUGAUUAUUUGGCUUAAAGUGUGCGUAGCAGGGAAUUCUAAGUCCUCUGUGAAAUGUCAGGUCUUAAGCUUGACACGUGCAGAGGAUACUGGAAUCCUUGGGACCGGGAUAGGUGUAAUGUACGGUUUGGGUAGGGGUGAAAUCCGAUAAUCCAAGCCGGACAACCGGUGGCGAAGGCGUUACACUGGAACGGGUCCGACUGUGAGGCACGAAAGCUAGGGUCGCGAGCCGGAUUAGAUACCCGGGUAGUCCUAUGCUGUAAACGAUGCUCAUUAAGUGUUAGGUAAUGCAAGACAUUCUCUAGUGCCGAAGCGAAAGCGUUAAAUGAGCCGCCUGGAAGUACGUUCGCAAGAA
rnacentral:rRNA from 1 species